CCGAAAGCUAUUUAGGUAGCGCCUCGUGAAUUCAUCUCCGGGGGUAGAGCACUGUUUCGGCAAGGGGGUCAUCCCGACUUACCAACCCGAUGCAAACUGCGAAUACCGGAGAAUGUUAUCACGGGAGACACACGGCGGGUGCUAACGUCCGUCGUGAAGAGGGAAACAACCCAGACCGCCAGCUAAGGUCCCAAAGUCAUGGUUAAGUGGGAAACGAUGUGGGAAGGCCCAGACAGCCAGGAUGUUGGCUUAGAA
rnacentral:rRNA from 1 species